AGAGUUUGAUCCUGGCUCAGAAUGAACGCUGGCGGCGUGCAUAACACAUGCAAGUCGAACGAGAAACCCCGGGCUUGCUCGGGGGAGUAAAGUGGCGCACGGGUGAGUAACGCGUGGGUAACCUACCUCUGAAUCUGGAAUAACUUCGCGAAAGCGUUGCUAAUACCGGAUAUUGUCCUUUGAACUGCGGUUCUUGGGAUGAAAGGUGACCUAUUCUUGAAAGUUGCCGUUCGGGGAUGGGCCCGCGUACCAUUAGCUAGUUGGUAGGGUAAUAGCCUACCAAGGCGAGGAUGGUUAGCUGGUCUGAGAGGAUGGCCAGCCACACUGGCACUGAAACACGGGCCAGACUCCUACGGGAGGCAGCAGUGAGGAAUCUUGCGCAAUGGGGGAAACCCUGACGCAGCAACGCCGCGUGAGCGAAGAAGGCCUUCGGGUCGUAAAGCUCUGUCUAGUGGGAAAAAAGUCCUGGUGUAAAUAGCUCCAGGAUCUGAUGGUACCGCUGGAGGAAGCACCGGCUAACUCCGUGCCAGCAGCCGCGGUAAUACGGAGGGUGCAAGCGUUGUUCGGAAUUAUUGGGCGUAAAGGGCGUGUAGGCGGUUUGGUAAGUCAGAUGUGAAAGCCCUGGGCUUAACCCAGGAAGUGCAUUUGAAACUACCAGACUUGAGUAUGGGAGAGGAGAGUGGAAUUCCCAGUGUAGAGGUGAAAUUCGUAGAUAUUGGGAGGAACAUCUGUGGCGAAGGCGACUCUCUGGACCAAUACUGACGCUGAGACGCGAAAGCGUGGGGAGCAAACAGGAUUAGAUACCCUGGUAGUCCACGCCGUAAACGAUGAGAACUAGGUGUAGCGGGUAUUGACCCCUGCUGUGCCGCAGCUAACGCAUUAAGUUCUCCGCCUGGGGAGUACGGCCGCAAGGCUAAAACUUAAAGGAAUUGACGG
rnacentral:rRNA from 1 species